rnacentral:rRNA from 1 species
GGUUUCCGUAGGUGAACCUGCGGAAGGAUCAUUACCGAGUGCGGGAACCCAGUCGGGUCCCAAUCUCCCACCCGUGUCUACCACACCUAGUGUUGCUUUGGCGGGCCCACUCCUCCGGUGUUCCGCCGGGGGGGUCGUCCCGGGGCGCGGUGUGCCCCCGGGGCCCGUGCCCGCCAGAGGCACUCACUGUGAACGCUUUUGUGAAUGCGAGGAUUGUCUGAGUGACGAAAUGCAAUCGUUCAAAACUUUCAACAAUGGAUCUCUUGGUUCCGGCAUCGAUGAAGAACGCAGCGAAAUGCGAUAAGUAAUGUGAAUUGCAGAAUUCCGUGAAUCAUCGAAUCUUUGAACGCACAUUGCGCCCUCUGGUAUUCCGGGGGGCAUGCCUGUCCGAGCGUCAUUGCGAACCCUCAAGCACGGCUUGUGUGUUGGGCCGCCGUCCCCUCGUUUGGAGGGGACGGGCCUGAAAGGCAGCGGCGGCGUCGCGUCCGGUCCUCGAGCGUAUGGGGCUCUGUCACGCGCUCAAGGAGGGGUCCGGCCGGGGCCAUAGCCUCUGAAGGUCAAUUCUUCCAAGGUUGACCUCGGAUCAGGUAGGAGUACCCGCUGAACUUAAGCAUAUCAAUAAGCGGGAGGA